CAUAGUUUUCGGUUCCCUCUCCCACUCCUCGAUCCUUCUGAAUACUCGGCGAUCUCCUUCGAUGGCGAGAUGGUAGGAGCUCCAGCGGUACGGCGAUUCUCUCGCUGGCUACCGGAUCCUCGUCGCCGGCUCCGUCGUUUCCUUUAACGCGCCGGGGAGAUAAACACCUUGCAGCGCCAGGAAAGAAGCAAUCACAACAUCAAGUAGCGAUCUUACCUGACUAAAUGAGAGUACGUUGGCUUGGGCUAUUUGCCCACCAAGGGAUCACAACAAAAGGAGGUAUUCUUGCUAUCGAGGUCAGGACUGUCAGGUGGCUGCCAAUUUCUCUGCUGCUACUGAUUUCAAGCUUAUGCAUCUCGUGACCUGCGGAGCCAUGCUUGGUUCUGUACCGCAACUUUUUUCUAACGCCUUUAACUGGUAUUCUUCUUUUAGACUAACUCGGGCCCCUUUUGGGAUUACUUCUGCUUUCUUUUUUUAGUUUACUUCUGUUUUUGUUGUUUUAACGAAUAGGACCAAUUUUGCUGACGAUUUGAUGUUCUUUGUCUUCUUUUAAAUCGUCAACAGGUAGAAGUGGAGAAAUCAUUCGAUCAUCCAGCAGAGAUUAUUGGCCACCGAGGGGUAAGUCUUUAAUAAUUUCGAAGCAAAAGUUUUUACUUUUUAGAAUUCCUUGAAACAAUGAAUUUACCAAACAUGGGUCUUACAUCGGCUUUCCAUUUUCUAGGUGUGUGUAUAAUCUCUCGAGUUCUUAGUUGUAUUCCUCUAUCUUUUUUUUAUUGAAACUAUUACAUGGCCUUGAUCAGUCAAGUUCAGAGGUCUAGGGUUUGACUUUGGACAUGAGCUCGAAGGAACUAAUUUUGAAAAAUAAAAUAAAAUCCACUAAACCAAAUCCAAACUCUUAAGGGUGUUCGUCAGCCGACCUGGUCAAGAACCGUGACGAACAGAAUCAACCAUGGUAUGGUUUCAAAUUUGAAAUCUACCAUGUAAUUUUGACCUGGAUCUGGUAGUAGAAAGCAGAAACAUGAUCUUAAUGCACUCAUACAUAAAUUGAAAUGUCAUAAAUUUAUGCAUAAAACAUGAUGAAGUACAAGUAAUUAUAUACUUGACAAGGAAGGGAAUGCAAUUUUCAGGUUUUUGCA